CCCAAACUACAAAUCGCUCAGUGAAUCUUCCCACCACUGGUAAUAUGCUAACAUCAUUAUUAUAUUAUAAUGUCUUUCAGAACAGAAACAUGGAAAGGUUGAAGGUGAAUGAAACUCUCAGACAACAACUGGAUAAUGAUGAGAUUACUCAAAAGGGCUUUGAUGACAGAGUAAAGGAUUUAUUGCUUGAACGUGGUGCAGAAGGAACAUCAGAGACCAGCAAAACAAAAAAUCCGAAGGCAUUCAUGGAUGCAGCACAAGUUUUUACCAAGGCAAAACAAUUAAUAAAACCACAAGUGAAGAAAUGCCAAUUUCCCCUCCGUCAAAAAGGAAAACCCCUUUUAAAGGU